AGCAAAUUAGAGAAGACAUCAUUGGAGUGACAUUUGAUUGAAUUAAGGCGAACGUGGCUCUGGAGGUGUUUGUGGUGGUCUUCUUGGUAUAGAGAUCCCCACUUACACCAGCAUUGAUUUACUGUCCACUUGGUAAUUUUCCCUGUUCCAAGAUGGGUCCGAGGGCCAUCUGGUCCGUGGUGCGCAUGCGCCACAAAUUUGCAUCGCUGCUCAUCAUGUGACCGGGUCUCCUGAGAGCUGAUUGGACGACACCGAUUCUUCCUCCAUGUUUACAGUUGUAUCCGGCUGCUCACAUGAUCAGGACUGAAGUAACGAGUCGUGCACCUGUGUGCUCAUCACAUGAUCAGGACUGAAGUAACGAGCCAUGCACCUGUAUGUCCAUCACAUGAUCA